GGGGAAUAUUGGACAAUGGGGGGAACCCUGAUCCAGCCAUGCCGCGUGUGUGAAGAAGGCCUUAUGGUUGUAAAGCACUUUAAGCGAGGAGGAGGCUCUUUUGGUUAAUACCCAAGAUGAGUGGACGUUACUCGCAGAAUAAGCACCGGCUAACUCUGUGCCAGCAGCCGCGGUAAUACAGAGGGUGCGAGCGUUAAUCGGAUUUACUGGGCGUAAAGCGUGCGUAGGCGGCUUUUUAAGUCGGAUGUGAAAUCCCCGAGCUUAACUUGGGAACUGCAGUCGAGACGGGGGAGUUUGAGGCUGGGAGCGGGAGGGAAUAAUGCAAGUGUAAGGGUGAGAAGCGGAGAAAUACGGGGGAAUACCGGUGGCGAAGGGUGGCAUCCGGGCGUAUACUGGCGCUGAUGUACGUAAGCAGGGGGAGCAAACU
rnacentral:rRNA from 1 species